UUUAACAAUAAUAUAACAAAGCAGCAGCAUUUUUCCUUUUAUUUGCAACAGGAUCUUGUUUUGCUCAGUGGUGUUCAGUGCGCUCAAAUUUAAUAAUAAUUGAAAUUAUUUAAAAUUCCGGAUAAGUGCCUCCUAAAUAAGCGAAAACAAAACUAGGGAAACUUCGUUUGGGACUGAUCGGCUUCUUGGUCGGCGUAUAUGUAUGAUAAAAUUACCGUGGCAUCUCACGGAACUGGGAGAUAAAUAGCGUAUUUCGGCAUUUGUCACCGAAGGAAUCAACUAAGAUGCACAGCUCGACAAGUGGCCCGGAAGAAGCAUCCAUGAUAAUUGUUCAGAUAUUUAACCUCAGGCGACGACAUAGAAUUAAAUUGUAAUGAAAUAAAAAGCAAUAAACUAAG